GAAGCCGAAGAGGGUCCGCAUCUGCUCCGAGCUGGCGCUGGGCGAGACGUUGGUGACCUGGAUCACGUCGGUGCCGCUGCUGGAGGCCAUCGCGCCGCCGCCCGCUCCGCCGGUGCUGCAGCAGACACAGCGGGGAGCUGUGUGAGCUGCUGUCUUCACAUCUUGGUCAGACCCAACAAUUCCUCUCCAGGCUGGGGAAUCAAGGACACCUCACUGCCUCAGGCCCCGAGAGAUGGAAACAAAAGUGAGUUAGGUAGCCUCAGAAAAGGCAUCACAAGCAGGACAACGUUGGGGUGGGAAUUUCUCAUUAAUGUUAUAGAGGAAAAAAAAACAUAUUUGUGGUUAACGUAGUACAAAUCACCCUAUUUCCUGAUGAGUUUGUUGUUUUAUGUUAAUGUGUUUCCCCAUAAAUGCUCCUGAAUGUAAAUAAAACAAGCCUUAUUUAUUAAUCAAGCUGAAAUUCUACCACAUAUGAUUCAUAAAGUAGGAGACGCUCCUACUGGUCCUGCCUUACCAGAUAUCACAUUUCCAUGUAUGAAAUAUCACAGAUAUUUGAUAUUCAGAUAAUUCAGUACCUUGUACUGAGUUGCCAAAAGCUUAUUUAAAGUCCUGCUUUGAAUUUGUCAGCAGUGUUCCACGUGGAACUUCAUUAAUUUCCAACAACACUGAAAGGGAAUGAGGCUGACAUUGUGUUUUUACCUGAGGCACAGAGCACUCACCCUCUGAAGUCUUUAAAACCCGUUUGUAACACUAUUUUUUAUUUUUUUUUAAAUAAAAAAUGUUGAA